rnacentral:rRNA from 1 species
GAAUCUUGCACAAUGGGGGCAACCCUGAUGCAGCGACGCCGCGUGAGCGAUGAAGCCCUUCGGGGCGUAAAGCUCUUUCGACCGGAACGAUAAUGACGGUACCGGGAGAAGAAGCUGCGGCUAACUACGUGCCAGCAGCCGCGGUAAUACGUAGGCAGCAAGCGUUGUUCGGAGUUACUGGGCGUAAAGAGUGCGUAGGCGGUUUUCUAAGUUCGGUGUGAAAUCUCCCGGCUUAACUGGGAGGGUGCGCCGAGGACUGGGAAGCUGGAGUGUGGGAAAGGCAGGCGGAAUUCCUGGUGUAGCGGUGAAAUGCGUAGAUAUCAGGAGGAACACCGGCGGUGUAGACGGCUUGCUAGACCAUAACUGACGCUGAGGCACGAAAGCGUGGGUAGCAAACA